UACGUAGGGGGCGAGCGUUACCCGGAUUCACUGGGCGUAAAGCGCGUGUAGGCGGCUGAUCAAGCGUGGUGUGAAAUCUCCGGGCUCAACCCGGAAACUGCAUUGCGAACUGGUCUGGCUAGAGUGCAGGAGAGGGCAGCAGAAUUCCUGGUGUAGCGGUGAAAUGCGUAGAUAUCAGGAGGAAUACCAGUGGCGAAGGCGGCUGCCUGGCCUGUAACUGACGCUGAGACGCGAAAGCGUGGGGA
rnacentral:rRNA from 1 species